rnacentral:rRNA from 1 species
GAGUUUGAUCCUGGCUCAGAAUGAACGCUGGCGGCGUGCUUAACACAUGCAAGUCGCACGAGAACGCUUUUGCUUGCAAGAGCUAGUAAAGUGGCGCACGGGUGAGUAACGCGUGGGUAACCUACCCUUGAAUCUGGGAUAACAUCGCGAAAGCGUUGCUAAUACCGGAUAAUAUCAUAGGUAUUUCGGUACUUAUGAUCAAAGGUGGCCUCUUCAUGAAAGCUACUGUUUGGGGACACGCAUUUGAAACUUUAAUACUUGAGUUCAGGUGAGGAGAAUGGAAUUCCAGGUGUAGGGGUGAAAUCUGUAGAUAUCUGGAAGAACACCAGUGGCGAAGGCGAUUCUCUAACCUGAUACUGACCCUGAGGUGCCAAAGCGUGGGGAGCGAACAGGAUUAGAUACCCUGGUAGUC